AGGUACCGCGCAUACACUCCGCUUCCUGCGCGCCGUGUGCACCCACCCUGAUGAUUGCUCGCUACGGUUUACCAGUC
rnacentral:sRNA from 1 species